rnacentral:rRNA from 1 species
UACGGGGGGUGCGAGCGUUGUCCGGAAUCACUGGGCGUAAAGGGCGCGUAGGUGGGUCUUUAAGUCAGGGGUGAAAUCCUGGAGCUCAACUCCAGAACUGCCUUUGAUACUGAAGAUCUUGAGUUCGGGAGAGGUGAGUGGAACUGCGAGUGUAGAGGUGAAAUGCGUAGAUAUCAAGAGGAACACCUGCGGCGAAGGCGGGUUGCUGGGCCGACACUGACGCUGAGGCGCGAAAGCCAGGGGAGCGAACGGG